CUCAUAAAGGCAAAGUGGAAGCGGGAUGGAAUGACAGGUUUGGGGAGAGGAAAUCAAGAGGACAACAUUAGAAAUAUAAAUAAAUAAAAUAACCAAUAAGCAAAACCUUCAUAACCUCACCAACUGUCUUGUUUGCUAUCUUGAACAUAGAUUUAAGCUCCUGAAGAGGGUGACUGUCAUCUGGAGUUUUUAAAAGCUGAAAGAAAAGCCUUUCAAGAACUGGAGACAGCUAUGUAGUCAUGAGUUCCCUCUUGGGUACAGCAAAACUUCUUUCCUGAAAGAAACUUGAAAUAUCAAUCUGCAGAUAGAGUUGAAGGUUGAGCAAAAUGAGCUGCAAACCCAGGCUACAAUGUAUUGGAGGUGUUGUUAUCGUUAUAAGCAGUUGUUUCAUCUGAGCAACUUCUCCAAGUGGUGGCGGUAUUAGAAACACUGGACAAUCAAAGAAGUAAGGGGAGGUAAGUCAGUGAAUACUUGAGAAAAGAAUGUUUUGACCAAAAUCCCUGAGAAUAUAAUGGUUUGAAUACCAUCAAAAGAAAAAUCCACCAAG
rnacentral:sRNA from 1 species